rnacentral:rRNA from 1 species
AUUGAACGCUGGCGGCAGGCCUAACACAUGCAAGUCGAGCGGAUGAAGGGUGCUUUCUCCUGGUUUCAGCGGCGGACGGGUGUGUAAUGCCUAUGAAUCUGCCUGGUAGUGCUUGAUAACGUCCGGAUACGGGCGCUUAUACCGCAUACGUCCUGAUGGAGCUAGUUGGGGAUCUUCGUACCUCACGCUAUCUGAUGAGCCUAGGUCGGAUUUGCUAGUUGGUGGGGUAAAGGCCUACCAAGGCGACGAUCCGUAACUGGUCUGAGAGGAUGAUCAGUGACACGGGAAGGGAGACACGGACCAGAGAACUACGGGAGGCAGCAGAGGGGAAUAGGGGACAAUGGGCGAAAGCCUGAUACAGCGAUGGCGAGGGUGAGAAGAAGGACUUCGGAGUGGAAAGCAAUGUAAGGGGGGAGGAAGGGAAGUAAGAUAAUACCAAGCUGGAGUGACGUUAACAACAGAAUAAGCACCGGCUAACUAUGUG